CAGAGUUGAAAAACUCCCUAAACCCUUUGUUUAUAUACCUGUUCAGUUGCUUCGGCAGGCGGCCCCAGGGCGGGGCCUCCAGCCUGCUCACGCAGGUGCCUGCCGCUGGCGCAAAAAAUUCUUGCUAUAUUUUACCAUUCUGAGUCUCACAAAAAUGAAUCA
rnacentral:misc_RNA from 1 species